UUGCGAUUUUUUGAGAGUGAGAAAGAGCCAGCGAGGCCUGGAAACAAAAAGCGUGAAGGAGACCGUAGCAAGUAGGAAGAAGAAACCAGACCUGGCUUCGUCUCUGAUAGAUCGUCCAAUUUUCUAUCCGAAUUUUGGCCAACUGAUUCUGGUUUCGGUGGAUGAACAAUGAACAGAACGAGAGAGAUCCUGAUAACAUCAACAACAAGAAGAAGAAAAAGGAAUCUCCAUUGUUGAUUUACUCCGUCUCGAAAGCAAAGAAACGAAUCGUGUCUAAGUUCAGAAGGAGACCCUUAUCGCCGAAUACGUCUCCUUCUUCUGGGUUUUGGAAAAGAGUCUGCUUUUGUGGAAUUGAACCUGACCCUGAAGAUGACAACUUUAAGCUUAGGGUUCUGCUACAGACCAAUGAUUUCUUCUCCAAGGAUUCUAAUCCACAUCUCUGUUUAGUUGUAGCAUGCCUCUGUGUCCUUUUUUGAGACACGAUUUCCCUCUAAACUCAGCUGAAAGUUCAGCCAUUAAAUCUACUGGAUUGAAAGCACUAAAGAGGACCUUAAUAUUCUUGCAGUAUGCCCCGAACGCCUUGGCAAGCAGGUCAUCAGGAAUCGGUGGGUUAGAACCAAACAGAGAUGGUCCAACAACUUGAGUCCCGGGAAGCUGGCUAUCGAAAGCAGCGAGGACGGAAGCAGGAGCUUUGUUAGGGUUCUGCUGGAAAUGGAGGAGAGCUUUGGGGAAAACGAAAACGUCUCCUUUGUUGACGUGUUUGGAGAUGAGUUUCCCGGUAGUGGUUAAGAAACCGACGAAGAGACGGCCUUCAAGGACGAAGAUGGCUUCAGAGGCUCUUGGGUGAAGAUGUGGUGGGUUAAGUCCGCCAGGUGCGUAGUCGAUCCGAGAGAUGGAGACUCCCAGAGUGUUGAGGCCAGGCACUUUCUCAACGUUGGCUCCUGUAACAGCUGAGCCCAUUGAAGAGUUGGCUGUGGCUGCAGCAGUGGCUAAGCCUAUGAAGUAGAAGUCUUCUGGUGUUACUUUUGCUGGGUCUUUGCAAGGGUAUCCGUUGACUUUCAAACCUAAUCAGAACAUGAUAAAAAGUCAACAACAAAAUAUUGGAAUUGGUCUUGGUUGUUUCAAAACACCAAAGCUGCGUUUGCAGUUAACUAUAUCUGGUAAAUGUAAAUGCAAGCAGAACAUAAAUGGUAUAGAGAGAGAUGUGAUACCGUUGGAGAGAUCAGCAACACAAAAGUCUUGAAGCAUAUUUGUAUCGGCGAGGGCCAUGUGGGCGGCCACGAGCAUGAAGGUGACGAAUAUAGGGAUCAUGGAAGUUGCCAUUGUUGAUUGUUGUUGUUUGUAAGAUGUUAUUGAUGAGUUUGAGAAAAUACUUUAACAUUGUUUCUCAAUUUAUAUAUCUACGUAAAGAAGAUUUAAC
rnacentral:lncRNA from 1 species